rnacentral:rRNA from 1 species
UCCGGCCUACGGGGCGCAGCAGUGGGGAAUAUUGGGCAAUGGGCGCAAGCCUGACCCAGCAACGCCGCGUGAAGGAAGAAGGCUUUCGGGUUGUAAACUUCUUUUGUCAGGGACGAAGCAAGUGACGGUACCUGACGAAUAAGCCACGGCUAACUACGUGCCAGCAGCCGCGGUAAUACGGAGGAUGCGAGCGUUAUCCGGAUUUAUUGGGUUUAAAGGGUGCGCAGGCGGAGGCACAAGUCAGCGGUAAAAUCGCGGGGCUCAACCCCGCUCCGCCGUUGAAACUGUGUCCCUUGAGUGCGCGA